GAGUGAGUAGAUAAGUGGAUUAUAUCAUCUCUUUCCGGAGGAGAAGGUCGCGGGUUCGAAUCCCGUCUCACUUG